AUUGAACGCUGGCGGCAGGCUUAACACAUGCAAGUCGGGCGGAGAUGAGGUGCUUGCACCUUACCUUAGCGGCGGACGGGUGAGUAAUGCUUAGGCAUCUGCCGAUUAGUGGGGGACAACAUUCCGAAAGGAAUGCUAAUACCGCAUACGUCAUACGGGAGAAAGCAGGGGCUCUUCGGACCUUGCGCUAAGAGAUGCGCCUAAGUCGGGUUUACUAGGUGGUGGGGUAAGGGCCUACCAAGGAGACGAUCUGUAGCGGGUCUCAGAGGAGUAUCCGCCACACUGGGACGGAGACACGGGCCAGACUCCUACGGGAGGCAGCAGUGGGGAAUAUUGGACAAUGGGGGGAACCCUGAUCCAGCCAUGCCGCGUGUGUGAAGAAGGCCUUAUGGUUGUAAAGCACUUUAAGCGAGGAGGAGGCUACUGAGACUAAUACUCUUGGAUAGUGGACGUUACUCGCAGAAUAAGCACAGGCUAACUCUGUGCCAGCAGCCGCCGUAAUAC
rnacentral:rRNA from 1 species